rnacentral:tRNA from 2 species
UGGGGAGUAGCCAAGUGGUAAGGCACCAGCUUUUGGAGCUGGCAUUCACAGGUUCGAAUCCUGUCUCCCCAG